rnacentral:lncRNA from 1 species
UUGGGUGCCUAAGAUUAUCUUAGAUACCUUUAUUCCACUCAAACUCAAAGUUCCUGAACCCAGAAAUUCCUUUUGGGAAAUUCACUCUGCAGAAAUUAAGGUUUUGAGUACUAAUCUUUCUAGAUACUUUUAGUCUUCUCUGAAUGCUCAGGUGUUCAGCAGAGGAUUCGUUUGCUUAUCCCGUGACUAACUGAUGUGUAGGUUUAGAAACUUGCUAGCCCUCUGUCCAUCAAGCCAGUAGCUCAGUUCAAGAAAUAUUCCAUCCAGAUUGAGUUCAUCCCAGAGUAUGGUGACAGACACCAUAUUUUGGUUUCUUCAAGUGGCCUUGGAGAAGUUGUUUUUUGUGUAUAGGAAAUUGAUGCUCAUAUAAGUAGUGAGAGAACCAGGUGCUUUUCAUUUCCCUUAUCAAGGUGAUUCAGGUGCCUUAAGGCCUGGAUUUUCUGCUCCAAAAAUCAGAUCCUAAGUAUUCCACAGAAUAAGAGGGAGAAAUCCUCCAUCCAUCUAAAUAGACAUACAUAAGAGAGAACAGAAGUUUCACUGGAAGACAGAGGGCUUUCCAUCUUGAACUUAAAUCCAUUUGGGGAAUGACUGAGCCAUUUCUACUCAUCUGAUCCAUCCUAACUGAGGUAUAUCCAGAGAGGAAGGACAAAGGGAGUGAGGGAUGAAAGAAGUGGAGCCAUCAACUACUGUAAGACCCACACAAGUUUACCUAGUCAGAAAAUAUUAUUGCACCUGCCCUUCUGAGCUCCUCAGAUUAAGAAAACUGACUUGCAGGAAACUCUCACCUCACUCAUAGCAGA